GAUCACGCCGCUUGCCGACGAUUUCAACCGGAAGGUGUAUGUAUGCAUGGUGCGUCGAACAUCCGUGAACGCAGCGACAGACGGCGCUAGGGGUAGCAAACAAAACACGGAGUUCGGUUGGCGCAGUGGUAAAAACAUGCAGAAGAAAAGCACCAAAACGUGAAGGCGAGGAGCGUACCGCCUGCGAUGGAAUUUGCCGUGGAAAAACGGAACAUAUUUGUAAAUUAACGAUGGGAUUUCGACAUGCGGAGGCCGCCAGUGGAACCAACGAGUGACUCGUCGAUAAGGACAGACGCUCGACGGAAAAGGUGAUCCGUGUAUGAUUGUAGAUUUUAACAGUUGAAAUUGUCUCAACCAAUGCAAGACACAGAUAUCACGAGUUCUAUUUCGCCUCUGCUCCAUGUUCAGGAUUAUGAUGUCUGUGAGAAACUUGGAACGGGAAAGGGUGUAAAAAAAUUAUUGCCAAGAAAACCUCCUACCUCAUUAAUUAUGGAAACUGUGUAUACGAAUGAGGAAGAAUCUGAACCUAAUGGAGCUGCGAAACAUCAAGGUUCCGAGCUCCUCAAAUCAUUGGGCGAAAAUUUUCCUUGGCUCAUUAAAUUUUCGAGAGUCAUUGAGUCAUCGGUUGGUAGCAAAAAUGCCAAACUGCUUGAUCGUUUACUAAGUGUAUAUAUCAAGAAUAUGUCACGCGAUGUGAAUAAGUGUUACACUAAGCCGCACAGAGCAGCUAAGCUAAAGACCCAAAUGAGCGAAACUUUGAUAUUCUUUCAUCUCUACUGGAAAAAUAUUAAAGAGAGAGUUGAUGAUCAUAAUCAAUAUUUGGAUAAGAUGUCGCAGAUAUUGGGAAUGUAUUUUGACAUGGAGCUCAAGGCGUCUCGUAGAGGCAAGGAUUUGGCUUCAAAAAUCGCUGCCAAGCUACUUACGGCUAUGUUCAUAUAUCUGGAUAAUUCAGAAGAACAUAUAUUCAGGGUUUUGUUGCGGGCCAAAUUCAUAACGAAAAAUUACAGUCAAAUAUGCAGUCCCAUAUUCACAAAAUUGUUCGCUGGUUUAUCUGGUCGCACAACAAGCAUCACAGCCGUGACUUAUGCCCGUUACUUAUUGGCGUUAAAAUUAUGGAAACGAAUAAAGGACGACCUGCAAGAGAAGAAGAAUAUUAAUGAAUUGGGCGUUGCAAUACUUGGUCACAGAACUCCGAUAUCGAGUACCGAGCUUGGAAAAAUUUUACCAAAUCCGCCAGAGUGUCACAAAAAUGGAACUUUGUGGUUGCUGCAACCGAAUUCAUUUGACCUACGCAAAGCUUGCGACAGUUUUAUUAAAUACGAAUUAAGCGAGCACAUUAUUUCACUGCCAGAUACUACUGAAAGAUUCAAAGUUACGGAUAGCAUUGACGUGGUGCCUUCUGCGCAGAUUAACUUGGAAUCUACUAACAGAUUACAAAAAGAAGAUAUCGUUCAGCUAGACAAAUCUCUGGUUGAAUUACAGACUGUUAAAAAAGUGGUAAAAUUGAGAAGGUUCAAGCCUUCCUUUCCAAAAUUACGGCCAGGUGAAGUAGUGUUUAUUGAUUUGACAGCUGAGAAUGAUGAACAGAAGCAAAAAGAAAAUGGGAAGAAGAAGAAGAAAAAGGACAAGAAGAAGUUGAAGUGGCUGAGAGAAGUCCGUAAGAAAUCAAAAAUAAGGAAGGAACGCAAAAUCCUUGAUAAAACAUGGAUUGAAAAGACAGAUGCUCAUAGUACCGAGGACAACAAUGAAGAAACCGAGUCAAAUUCAAGUAACCGGCCAAUUUCAGAAGAUAAAGUCACUGAAAGUACAGAGCGAAUGGAGAGAACAUUGGUGAAUAUCAACAGAUUUGGUAAACGGGUGACUAGACUACGUGUAGAUUCUGUUGACGGAACAAAGCAGGAGAAAAAUAAAUGCAACGUCAAUUGUAAGGGGUGUAAAUUUUGUCAUUUGAUGGGACAACUAAAGUAUACGACUAUUGAUAGAAUGGAAGAUAUAGAAAGGUCUGAAAACCUCAUCAAAUCACAAUCUUCGCCACUUAAUAAAGACGAUACAACAAUUUCUGUGCAUACAACAUUUGCCGAGUGCGUAAACGAAGAACUGCAAGGUUCUGGAGCUUAUAAUAUUCAAACUGUGUCAGAAUCAUGUGGCUCUUAUUAUGAUACGGAUCAAGUGGAACGAAAAAAUUCUGCAGAAAGCACGACGCAGGAGCCGCUCGAUGUUAUAGACGAUAGUACAACUGAUAAAAACUGUGAUAAACUAAUUACUACAAUUACAAAUACGUCUAGUUUUAAUAUUACUAAUGAAUCUGAGAAGAACAAGGACAUUCUCGUCAAACGAAACGUUUCUUCACCAAAUGUAAAAUUAGAGGCUGGUCACACGACGGAAAUUGUCAUGCCCAUACCCUCGAAAAGUUCAUGUCAAAAUUCACAGUAUAUUUCAAACGUUCGUGACCAUUCGAAAAUGAGAAAAGGUAGUAACGAAACUUGCGUUACAUCAACUACAGCUUCGAUCUUUGGCUGUGGUACCGAGGAACAAAUAAAUGUGAUUUCCGGAUCGAAAAGUGAACCUACGAUACAGGAGAAAGAAUGUGAUCUGAAUUUGGGUGAUAAUAACAAAUUGUACACUCAAGACAUUGCGACAAUUUUCAAGAAAUUAGUUUCAACUUCAAAGAAGACGAAAUCAUUGGAUGUGAGUAACGAUAACUGUAAAAAUCGGGCUAUCAAGGUUGUCAACAACAAAUUGCAAAACAUUUUAAUUCAUGCUCUCUCUUUUGAUGAAGUUAUCGAGGUAGGCAAAGAUGAUAUCGAUUCUCAGUCCGAGGAUGACGAAGGGAAAGGAUAUUGCAGCAAAUCCUCCGAUCAAGAGAAAAAAGUCCAAAAUUUUCACAAAGAGUUGUUCUCCAGUGAGGACUUAGACUUUUUUCAAAUACCAAGUAUACAGCUAUGCGACGAUCUUACAAAUAACAACGACGUAGAAAGUCUUGGGGAUAAUGGCAAAGUUGAUGAAUUUGAAAAUAUUGACAUAUUGGACAGCAUUUUGAACGGCUAUAUGAGCAUGCAAGAUGUACUUGAGGACCAACAACACUUGCCCAUGACUUCUGGUAGCAAUGAAACAUCCUCCGCCAACGUGAUGGGAUUCUUCACGGAAUUCCUUAGGCAAUCAGAAACUGCACAGUCGGCUGACGACGAUUAUGCAACAGAGGAGGCUUGCCAUUCAGACGUAGUGCCUAAAUCUUUGCCAGAAGGCAGUCUGGGCACAACUGGCAUUCUCAAUUCCCUUCUAGAUUCAGAUUUGACAAGCAUGGAUUCUCCUCCUAGUGAUUUUAUGUACUCUAAUGUGCAAACAGUCGAUCCUAGAUUGAUCAGGAGAUCACCUACGGCAGAACGGAGUGCUUUUUUAAACGAUUUCAGCACAGUGUCGGAUUUGUUCUCUCAGUGCGAGCAAUCCUCAGAUGAAACUUUUCAACCACUCGAGUCCCUCGCUAAGAAAACAAAGGACCAGUUGUUUCUGGAUGAAAAGGACAGUCUGAAUUGCAUGGACUUGGAAGAGUUUCGACUAAAUAGCAAUAAGCGAGCUGAUUUUGAAAUGCCCUUGCUUGAAGAAGAGCUGAUUCAGCUACCCCAGCAUCCGCUGAUCGAUGACGCAAUAAUAACACAGAUAUCAGUGCCGACACGCGAAUCGCAGAUGUCCAACCGGUCUGAGAUUGAUAAUUUAAACGAAGUCAAAUCCAUGCUGCAAUCAUGCAUCGGUUCUCAGGAAUUCAACAACAUGCAACAAUUGGCAGAGAAUAGUUAUGACUAUUCAAAAUUGAAUAAUUUCAAAGACUUUGCGUCGUUUAAACUUAGAGACAUCAUACAGCAUUCGCCAAACUCGAUUGAUCACAGCGUAGAUUUACCAACGACCACACUGACGGAUUUCACACCUCCUCAUAGCGUCGAUGCUCCUCAAUCGCCAUACACUUUUGCCUCGUCGCCGGCACCUGUACACGUUCAAACAGUUCCUUACUCUCCUACACAUUCCAUUGGGGCUUCUUGCCAUCAGAUAUCCACAAAUAUGUUGACGCCUCCUCCAAGCACGCCGCAACUAUCUCGUCAAAAUAACUUAACACCACCUCCGACCCCACAACAGAGUCAAAAUCCAUUAAGCGAAACUCUUGGUGAGUGUCAGUCGCAGGCAGCUGUCGCUAUCAACGGAAAUAUCCAAGAGGGUGCAAUUCGUUACUUCACUGUUAAAUCACAAUUCUGUUCGGCUGCUGACGCUAGCAACGACGAUCUUCAAGAACGAAACUCAUGCAUGCAGAGUAAAAUUGCAACGCAAAAGGUACAGAACAAGAUUAUGUACAUCACUAGAUCUAAGAAGUGUGCCAAAUCAAGAACUCGUCCGACCGAAAUUGAGAAAGAUGAAACAGCCAAGCGAGAUGAAGACCAGUCUUUGCAUCUGUCGCAGGUUCAAGUUGCCCUGACGAGAUUACCCACGGCUGAAAUGAAGGGCAGAGAUAGCGGAGACCAAAGUUUAUUCAAGAGUCACUUUAUUGUAAAAAGGGAGGGGGACAUUUCAUCCGACAAACAGCUGAAAGCUGCACAAUUGCAGCGUAUUGAUUUGAGGAAACUGAGCAUAGCCGCUGCACAGAAAAAUAACAAGUCAGUGUUGAUAAAUUUGAACGGAAAGACAAAGCCGGCGUUGGUGUUUGAACGAAAUACCGUGCAAGGUGACAAGUUGUUGAAAAGUAUGAACAACGAUCCUGUCGGUAAUCGUCAUAUUAUAUAUAAAUUGACGCCUAACGUUACACCUGCUACCUCGAAAGAUAAGCCAUAUUCUAAGCUUCCGAAAGUUAACUUUACUCUGCAAAACCGUGCUGACGAUGUCGUCAGUAAAACGCAAUCGACCGCUGCCAGGUCUGUCAGCAGUAAUAUAGGGACACAGAAAGAUCAGGUUCAAAAGAUUAUCAAGCCGCGGUCUUACAUGAGACGAGGUGUUAAAACUCAAGCUAACCAGUCUGGCAAGGAGCUCAACGUCAGGAAAACUUUCACUGUUCCCAACACGGAGGAACCAUCUCUGAAGAGACGCAAGAUCACUACAAAAUUGAUGCCGUCAUUAGAAAACGAAAGCAUUAUUUAUACGGUUAAUCAGCCAAAGCCACAAGAGAAGCAUUCAAACGUUAUCAGAAGAGGUAACUUACCAGUACAUUUAUUUUUCUCCAGUUUAACGAGUAUGUUCGUGUCAAUUUUCCUUACCUGUUACAUCUGUGGCACAAUUUUCUGCUUUUGUACGAAAUUUAAAACUAAAUCGCAGGUAUACGUAGAUUUUUAUUUCCUACGAGUAUCUUGAACCGGAAAACUUUGCUUCAAUAUCAUGAAAUUGAUAUGUUCAGACAAAAUUGUAGAGAUUUUUAACUGACGAGUAAAAUUCUUCCAUCAAAACGUUUGACGAAAUUCAACAUUCACUCAUCAAUGAAGAACCGAGAUCUACAUCAAUGAAGAUAAGAUGGGCCAACAUCAAUGAAGAUACUUUCGUGUAUAUUGCUUUAUUCUUCUGCUCCUCGCUCAUUGAGUAUUUCAUACAAAUCUACGUAACCUUCUGCUUUACAGUACAGUAAACAAUGAAUGCAAGCUAACAACAAACAUUUCGUAAUUUUCCAAAAAUCAUUAGCAUUUGCUUUGCCAUGUUCAUCGCAGAUAAGAUUCGGUUUAGAAUUUCAAUUCACGCACAUUUAAAGGCGAGUAGAGCGACAGGAGAAGAUUCAAAAAAUGAAUUCAAGGUGAAAGUAUCUACCCUAAACUACAAUUUCUAUUCAAUUGCAAACUUGUUUCAAGAUUAUAUUCCACUAACAAUCAUAAAUUCAUCUCUUUUGCAAGAUGAAGCACGUAAAAGAAAUCAGUCGGAGAGACAGAACGAAGAAAAAAUUUGUCUGACAGAAUAACUGCCUGCACGAUUUACUACGCAGCAGUAACAACAGCAGAAAUGAAAACCGGUUAUCGAACCAGUGAAAAUACGUAAGACUUACAUGAUUAUAGUUAUAUUUUACAAUAAAUCAGAAUCAUCGGCUGAUAGGUAUACGUUAUAUAUACCUAUGUAAAUAUAUAUAUAUAUAUAGCUGAAGAAUUUGUUGAAGAGUAUGAUAGAAAAAUCGACCUCUAUAUAUGGUGAUUAUUUUCAAGCAGUUAUCAUCAUUAUUAUUAUUAUUAUUAUUUUUGUUUACAGGGAUUUAUUUAUACUUCAAAUUAGUUUUUAAAUUAUUUUAUUCUGCCGACAGUAGUAACAUUAACUUUAUCUUUGCUCGUUGUUUCAUUGUUUCUUUGCUUAUUGCUUUAUCAGUGACUGUUAAGAAGAUGACUGAAAUUUUUUUCAACAGUUAAUCGGUAAUCGCUAUACUCUUUCUAUAUACAUACAUACAUACAACGCAAGUGCGCAACUCGAUUUUAAUCAUACAGCUUCAUACAUAUAUAUUCACUCAUUUACAAUGUCAUACAAAAAUAUGUGAUAUACAUUUUAGAAAAGAUUAACUACUGUAAUUUUGAUCCCUCCUUUCUUCUCAAUCAAUUGUUAUAUUUUUGAUGUGUAUUAUAUUUUUAUUAUUUCAUCGUUCGCCAUGCAAUUUUGGUACAAAAUUAUCUAGGAAUGAUAAUUCGUUGUCAUUGGUUCGUAAUAUGUCCAAUCUUAUACUGUAAUACCUACAAUAAGAAACUAUUUCGCUAAUUGUAAAUAUAAUAAUUGUAAAUAGAAGAAUGAACGAGACCGUGCGAAUGUAACGUGUAUCUUGUGAUUUUAUUGAUGAUCUCUUACAAAACAAUUUAGACUUUUUUUGGUUUUCACAUUUUAAGUAAUAUAAUUGAUAACUAUAUGAUAUUCAUUGCACUGAAUUUGUAUACUGUAUAUAUAUACACGUAAAUGUAUACACAAUUGAGUGCAAAGAACAAUUUUAAUUUUGUAUCAUACCCAUAUACUAUUAUUAUUAUUAUUGAUAUACUUACAUGAAAUCACGGAAGAUAUUAAAAAGUAACUGCUGCUACUAGACGUCAUUCCAACAAAAAAAAAAAAGUAAUAAUAAUAUUAACUCUUAUAUUCUGUUCAAAAAUCGGUGUCAUUAGUUUAUCCGAGAAUUCAGAAUCAAUCAAAUAAUAUUUAGCAUGUAUUCACCUCUCCUACAAUUUCGCCAAAAUCGAUUGAAUUUGAAAUGCACCAAUUUUCUUUGAUUUUAUUUUCAUCUUCACUUACAUGGAAAGUUGUUUUACUGCUUGUAAACGUAAACGUAAAUGUAACGAAGAAAAAGUCAUACUUGAAUUACCUGAGUUCAAAAGGACAUACGUAGAUUAAGUGCGUUUAAUAAUAGUAAUAAUAAUAAUAAUAUGAAUAAUAAUAAUGACAAUUUUCUGGGCAUUUAUACCUACUAAUAAUUAUUGUUAUGAAUUUGAUAUUUUGCCAUCAGUGUACGUCUAUUUGUACGUUAUAGUAUAAUACGAGGCAAAGUCCACAAUUUGAAUGAAUUGCACACGUUUUCUAAAAAAAAAAAAAAACAAAACAAAAAAAGAAUCAAAUUCAGUUAGUUUUAUAUGUAUAUAUAUAUAUAUAAAACUAUAUAUGUAUAUUUUUUUCAACUUUGUUUAACAUAGAUAAACUGUCAAAGAAAUUCAGUAACUUUAUGUUAAACUUAUAAUUGUAAUUGUUUUUAGUACAAUUUUUUUUUUUUUUAAAUCGAAAUUAGUAACCAAUAAUUUGCAACGUGUGAUGCGUCGUUUUAAGUUUUUUUAUUUUUUACUUUCGUAUUUAUUGGGUUUCGUUAUAGCCAAUUCUAUGAUUACAAUGAAAAUAAUUGAAGAAAUAGAACGCGUGUCCAGUCAUUGUUAAUAUGUCCUAGAAAUUUUAUAUAUAUUAUUAUUUUAUAACUAUGUAAUUUCCCAGUAGCAAGUUAAGAGAGGAAAGAAAAAAAAUUAAAAAAAUUAAAAAAAAAAAAAAAAAAAAACAAGUACAAGUAAUAAGUAAUAAGGUUAAAUAUUGUAACGUACGGCACUUGCUUAGGAAGAGAAUAAUAUCGAAUAAAAGUUGUACACCGUUAUAAAACUAAACAAAAAUAAGAAAAUCAUAUUACUUUCUUUAUAUCAUACAACACUGGCGAACAUUACGUUUUUUUUUUGUUUUAGUUUCUUUUUUCUCAAGGAACUAGCACAUUCUAACUCACAAUAGUGACAGCUUUUGUAGUUUUACAUGUUUCAUGACGUUUUCGCUUAAUAUUGUCGACUACGUAUCGAUCAUUCCUUUAACAUAAAAAAUUGUUGAAUCGUAAAUUUGAGUAGAGAAAAAAGU